rnacentral:lncRNA from 1 species
UUCAGAAGAAGAGGUAAAUUUUUAAAUAUAUAUGAUAAGAAUAAAUCUUAACUAAGUUUUUUAAUGUUUACAUGUUAGUGUACAUGAAUUCUUUAUAUACUAUUUUAUGAUUUUUGGUAAUGGCGGCAAACUUCCAAUUGCAAGUCCAUAAGAAGAUUUUGAUAAUUAUUAAACACCUUGAAUACCAUCAUUUGAACAGGAAACAAAAUGUGAACAGUAUUAUAAGGACUAAGUGCCUUGUUAAAUAAAUGUACCUGUUAACUGAGAUUGUAUUGUGUCAAAUCAGUAUUGUUAACCCUUUGAUAUUUUGAUCAUGUUAAUAAAUUGGGUAUCUUGUUAAAUAACCACAUAUCCUCUCAGUUUGUUUAAGCAGUAUAUUUAUGGCGCCAUUUAAGUUAAACAAAAUUGAACUUAGAAUAUGUAAUGAGUUUAUUUAAAUUCAUUCGUGGUCUUUUUAGCAGAUGGAUUUCUUGAUGUUUUAAGUCGUUACAUUUGAAGAAACGUGACUGCUAUUUGACUCAAAUUUAAAAAGAAAAAUGUUAUCAGAAAGAAAAUAGCAAUAUCUGUUAAUUUUGAUAAUCACUUUUGAAAUUUUCAUUUUAACAAGUUUAUGAUAUAACCACUAAUUUCCAUAUAAACAUGUGAACAAACUGGCACUGCAUUAUGAGGGUUCUCAUGCUCCAUGAUAUUUUCAAGGGAGCACAUUACAACCCCUUUACUCGUCAGGUCAAGUUUGAUUUCCACUGUGUUAGGUGAUACCAUUCACAAGUUAUAAUAUGUUGAAAAUUUGUUUAAAAAAUUACAAGUUGAGUUCCAUUUUACAAUUGAGUGCUUUUCUAAAUGUUAUUACACUUUGCCUUCUAAAUUUGUGCCUAUAUAAUGUAGUGGCCAACAAAAAUGUGGUUAUAUUAUUUUGAAUGAUUUUUGUUUAAUAGUUAUUUGGUCUUAGUUUGCAAAUCCAUUGUUAAAGGUUAAACAUAGGUUAAGUUUGCUGAUGGUUAUGAAAAUUCAAUAGAGUAUUGUUGUUAUUUACAUAUAAAUAUAUAUCUAGACAACAGGGAAUUCAGGGAGCGUCUUUUGGUUGUGCAAGCUUUUUAUUUGUUUAUUCAGUUGAUUUAUAAUUAAUUUUUGGCUUACACACUUAAGAUCAUUCAUGCACAUCUUUCCUCUUUGUUUUCUCUUUUCAAUAAGUAAUUCUUGAUAAAAAUGAAUUAUUUGAAUUCAUGAAUAGAUGUUUGAAUUAUUUCAGUCUUCAAAUUUCUUUUAUUUCAACUUAGUUUUCUAAUAAUAAUUUCCUGAUGUUUUUUAUAUGAACUUUCACAAUUAUUUUCAAAAUUUGCUACUUUAUUUAAAAUUCAAUAAUGAACAGAAAUAUUGUCAUUGUUGUUGGCUGAUUACAUUCUUCACUUUAAAAGCAAAACCAGUGAUGGGAUAUUGUAUUGUUUUAAUAUAAACAUAUUUUACUAUCUAUUCUCCUUUAAAUUUUUCAAUUUAAUGUUAAAAACAUUUUGUUUUCUUGAAGCUUAUUCUUAGAAAACCACACAAUAAAACUGAAUUAAUAAAGAAACAUACUGACUCCCCUGUGUGUUAUGUUAGUCUGUUAGUGAAAAUCAAUCCCCGUCCAACUUUUUAUAUAAGUUUUUAUUUUAAUAUGUGUUUUUAUUUCUUAUUCUGUGAUAUUGAAGCAGUGUAACAUAUCAUUUUAACUUGGUUAUUAAAUUAUUUAAAAGUCCUACUUGAAAG